rnacentral:tRNA from 1 species
GCGGAUGGGAUACCGCGCGGGUUGACAAUUCAGCCUUCCAAGCUGAAUACGAGGGUUCGAUUCCCUUCACCCGCUCCA